rnacentral:rRNA from 1 species
AGCGGCGGACGGGUGAGUAUUGAGGGGGUAACCUGCCCUAUACACACGGAUAACAUACCGAAAGGUAUGCUAAUACGAGAUAAUAUAAGAGAUUCACAUGGAUUUCUUAUCAAAGCUGAGGCGGUAUAGGAUGGACCCGCGUCUGAUUAGCUAGUUGGUAAGGUAACGGCUUACCAAGGCGACGAUCAGUAGCCGACCUGAGAGGGUGACCGGCCACAUUGGAACUGAGACACGGUCCAAACUCCUACGGGAGGCAGCAGUGGGGAAUAUUGCACAAUGGGCGAAAGCCUGAUGCAGCAACGCCGCGUGAGUGAUGAAGGCCUUCGGGUCGUAAAACUCUGUCCUCAAGGAAGAUAAUGACGGUACUUGAGGAGGAAGCCCCGGCUAACUACGUGCCAGCAGCCGCGGUAAUACGUAGGGGGCUAGCGUUAUCCGGAUUUACUGGGCGUAAAGGGUGCGUAGGUGGUCUCUUAAGUCAGGAGUGAAAGGCUACGGCUUAACCGUAGUAAGCUCUUGAAACUGGGAGACUUGAGUGCAGGAGAGGAAAGUGGAAUUCCUAGUGUAGCGGUGAAAUGCGUAGAUAUUAGGAGGAACACCAGUAGCGAAGGCGGCUUUCUGGACUGUAACUGACACUGAGGCACGAAAGCGUGGGGAGCAAACAGGAUUAGAUACCCUGGUAGUCCACGCCGUAAACGAUGAGUACUAGGUGU